GGCACUUUGGCGGAGUGGUUAACGCGAUGCCCUGCUAAGGCAUUUCCUUCGGGAGCGUGUGUUCGAACCACACAGGUGUCG
rnacentral:tRNA from 1 species